CACUGGUUUGUGUCCCACAGGCCAACGGGGAUGUGACGGUGUCGGUGCCCGACAGUCUCUACGUGGGGGAUGCUGCCGGACGCCCCGCAAACUGGGCCCCGGGGCGGAAGAAAAAGGAUUUCUCCUGCAGUGACCGAUUGUUCGCUCUCAACGCGGGGCUGCGGUUCCUGACUCCUGAGGAAAAGUUUCUAGGCUGGGCCCCGGCGCCCUUUGAGCUGCCGGCCUUCGACCCUGUGAGUGACCACUGACCCUAUAAAUGAUCACUGACCCCAUAAAUGACCCCCUGAGCCUGUCCCCAACCCUGACCUUUGACCUUUGCCCCCAGCGCCACCUGGACGUCGAUCCCCCCUCAGAACCCUCCAUGGCCGAACUGGUGUCGGACAAACCCGAGGUGCUGCUGACYGUUGGCUUCCCUGGGGGUGAGUG